GCUUCCGUGUGGAUGGCCACUAUGUCUCGUCUUUCUUGUGGGGUUUCCAGAUUCAUUCUUAACUAUUCUUCAUUGGAUUCCAGAUUGUCAAUUUUUCUCCUUAUAGUCGGUUCAACCACUUCCACUGGCAACAUCGCAUCUGUACCAUAAGUUAAGUUGAAAGUGGUUUCUCCGGUGGUCUCAUGCGGCCUACACCGGUAACCCCACAACACUUCCAACAGUUCAUCAGCCCCCGCCCCCUUGC
rnacentral:lncRNA from 1 species